rnacentral:rRNA from 1 species
CCCUUAGAUGUUCUGGGCAGCACGCGCGCUACAAUGGUCUUCGCAAACGGAUGCAUUCUCGAAGGAGAAUGCCAAUCUUGGAAUCUAUGCCUUGGUCGGGACAGUUGCUUGCAAUUUUUCGACUCGAACCAGGAAUUCCUUGUAAUCGUGAUUCAUCACAUCACGAUGAAUACGUCCCUGCCCUUUGUACACACCGCCCGUCGCUCCUACCGAUCGAAGAGUUAGGUGAAUUGUUUUGAUCGAUAAGAUUUGACUAUGGUCAACUCUCGUUGUGAAAUUCUGUGAAUCAGACUGUUUAGAGGAAGGAAAAGUCGUAACA